rnacentral:lncRNA from 1 species
AGAAAAAGCUAAACCACCUAAAGAAAGAGGGGCUUGCUGCGGCGUUGAUGGGUGCCGGACAGACGAUGACCGGCGUCGGGUACUGCAGGUCAGCGAUGGCAAGGUGGCGCGGGGAGGUGCAGGCAUGGGCAUCGGGUCGCAGGUUGCUGCACAGCGAUGCUCGCGGGUGCUGGUGCGCGAAGCAAGGGCGGAUGUCUAGGCAGAGACCGGCGGAGGGCGAUUUGCAGAGGUGGGUUGCGUACGGAUCGGGACCUGCUGUCUUCGGAGGGCCGCGACGUCGAGCACGGCGAGAACAGGGAGAUCGGCGAGCAGCAGGGGCUGGUUGGUUGCAGAGGCGCAGCGGCACUAGGCUCCGAGCGGAUGCGUAGGCGGAGGCCGAGGCGUCACGAGCCGUGGACGGCUCGAUCAGUGCGGGUUGCAGGCGAGGCACUACAGAGCUCAGGGCAACGGCGUUAGGCGUCGCGGCUGGCUUCGGGGCGGCGAGCGGCGCGGUGGACUUCGGCUAUGGAGAUGCCGUGGUGGAAGCGCAAACAGGGACCGACGGUGGGCGCAGCGGGCUACUGGUUGGCGCUUGGGCCGUCGUGAGUCGGCAGAGGCGAACGGCGGGGGUCGUCGGGGCUCGUGCGGAGAAAGAUCCAGGCGUCGGACGGGACUGGCUUCGAGCUCCAGGCGGCGUCGGCGUGCGCGGUGAGGCGGUUCGUCAGGGAGCGGAGCAGGGGCAAGGCUCGGCGCGGCACGGUGGGCUCGGGCGGAGGAGGACUCAAGCGUCGGGGACCUCGGCGGCGCGGCGUCGUCGCGGCGAGCUUCGUGGGGAGACCGCUGAAGCGGCUGUGGCGAACACACGGUGGCAGAAGCCUCGCGGAUGGAAGUUGCAGAGGAGGGGCAGCGAUUUGGGGAAGAUGAUGAACAGUAGGGGUCAAAUCACCUCUUUACUUUUCUCCUCCCUCUCUCUCUCACGUCACUCUCCCUCUUCCUUCGUACUCUUUCUCUCUUUUUUACUGAAACAAAACUUCUCUCCACUUUUUUCUGAAUUUUUUUUCAAAAGAAGCUCUUCCCAAAAAAAC